UACGAAGGGGGCUAGCGUUGUUCGGAAUCACUGGGCGUAAAGCGCACGUAGGCGGAUGUGCCAGUCAGGGGUGAAAUCCCGGGAGCUCAACUCCGGAACUGCCUCUGAUACAGCACGUCUUGAGUUCGAGAGAGGUGGGUGGAAUUCCUAGUGUAGAGGUGAAAUUCGUAGAUAUUAGGAAGAACACCGGUGGCGAAGGCGGCCCACUGGCUCGAUACUGACGCUGAGGUGCGAAAGCGUGGGGAGCAAACAGG
rnacentral:rRNA from 1 species